GGAGGAUCCAAGCGUUAUCCGGAUUUAUUGGGUUUAAAGGGUGCGUAGGCGGCUUUUUAAGUCAGGGGUGAAAGACGGUGGCUUAACUAUCGCAGUGCCCUUGAUACUGAAGAGCUUGAAUAUAGUUGAGGUAGGCGGAAUGUGACAAGUAGCGGUGAAAUGCAUAGAUAUGUCACAGAACACCAAUUGCGAAGGCAGCUUACUAAGCUAUGAUUGACGCUGAGGCACGAAAGCGUGGGGAUCAAACAGGAUUAGAUACCCUGGUAGUCCACGCCCUAAACGAUGAACACUCGAUGUUGGCGAUAUACAGUCAGCGUCUAAGCGAAAGCGUUAAGUGUUCCACCUGGGGAGUACGCCCGCAAGGGUG
rnacentral:rRNA from 1 species